rnacentral:tRNA from 1 species
AGGCGAUUAGCUCAGUUGGCCAGAGCUCCAUUUUCACACAUUGGAAGUCGCAGGUUCGAAUCCUGCAUCGCCUA